GAAAUUAUAGCCUACAAAAAACGAUUAUAAAUCCUAUUUAUGAGUUCAACCAGUCAACACCACUCUGAUUGGCUGAAGCAGUACAUCAUCAUAACCCAACCAGUAAACGCCACUCUGAUUGGCCGAAACACCAUGCCGGGCUUUUGGUGCAAUUCAAACUUUUUCCCAGACAGAGAGACAGUCGCUUUUUCUUCUCUACUCGUGAACCAAAUGACCGCACGGCUCUGCCCAGCACGUCAAACUCGUGUUCAGAAGGUUCUCGACAUGCAGCAAGAGGUGGUUCCGGGAUGGCUAUCGCUCCAGGUCGAGGUCACGGCACAGUGGGGGCGCACUGGCAGAUCCAGGUCCAGUGAGGGCUCGAGACGCAGCAGCCGGUCCAGGUCACAGUAUUAUGGUGAUGUUUUGAGGCACACCAGCAUCUCCAGGCCUGACGGGUUACGCUGUAGCAAUCUGACCAGCCCCCCGUAUUACAGGCUAAGGCAUGAUGCAGUGACCGAUGGAAAGGCGCAAGGACACCAAGGACUGCGUCCACAAAGUCCUUAACAACUGUUCACUAACGGCCAGAUGGCAAAAUUGAAUAUGAAGAGGAAGGUGAUGGACAAGAAGCCUUUUGAGAAGACUCCUGUUUAUAAAGGUAAGCCCAUAUAAUGUUGAAAAAGGAAAGAAAGUCGGCCCCUUUCAAUCUUGAUUGGACAGAACAUUUACUAACUUGACGUAAAAAAAUGCAAUGCCAACUGUUUACCAUUUGCUCUGACAUUUUUUGUAUUAAUCCAAUAUGGUAGUGGAUGUAUUAGGCAACCCAUUUUUGCGUUCAAAUAUGGGGAUGGUGUAUUACAGCAGAUUACUUCAUAUCACUUGUCUUUUCUACUCGUGCAGAUGGAGUCAUGAAAUUGGAUUCAACAGCAACAGAGGGCUCAGUAAGGCUGUGUGCCUCUGAACACCUUAAACAUUCACCACAAAGACAGGGAGGUGGAGAUCACGGCACUGUUUCUCAGGACUGAAAAACUUCAAUCAGGGACAAAGGAGAAGGUGGUGAAAGACGGGUGUGGAGCAGAGGGAGCUGCGGAAGGAAGGAGGAGGUGUAGCCGAACCGUGCCGGACACCACGCUCUGAAACAGGGACAAACCCAGGAGGCACUGCACCGUUUUAGAGGAUCAGACAGAGACUGAAGUCAGCCAGGUUUCCUCCGGGUGCUACAGUUUCCCCGACCUCAAAAAACAUGCUGCUCAGGUUGGUCCACAGUGGUGGCGCAGCUAUGGACGAACACCUGAACACAAAAUCGGUGUACGGUACAACGACAAAUAAAGCACUUACUUACUUUAUUCCUCAAGCCAGUUAUCCAUAGCUUUGACUAGUUGUUUGCAGGUUGACCUGUUUUGUCAAUGUUUAAUAAAAAAUAAUUGAAUGGGGAUUGAAUUGUGAUUGUAUUUGUGACGCUUGUAUAGGAGUUCAGAAGUCAAUUUGCAUAAUGCAUUAUUUGUAUAAUUUUGCUCUAUCAGUACAAACCAUUUUGGAUUGUUUUGGCUUGAUA
rnacentral:lncRNA from 1 species